rnacentral:rRNA from 1 species
GACGUAGGGCGCGAGCGUUGUCCGGAUUUAUUGGGCGUAAAGAGCUCGUAGGCGGCUUGUUCGCGUCGUCCGUGAAAACCUGGGGCUCAACCCCAGGCUUGCGGUCGAUACGGGCAGGCUAGAGUUCGGUAGGGGAGACUGGAAUUCCUGGUGUAGCGGUGAAAUGCGCAGAUAUCAGGAGGAACACCGGUGGCGAAGGCGGGUCUCUGGGCCGAUACUGACGCUGAGGAGCGAAAGCGUGGGGAGCAAACAGG